AUGGAGAUUCAGUGGGUUGUCCUCUGGCCACACAGCAUCCCUUAUGAGAGCCUUGGGCUCCUGGGCUCGUUCACUCAGUACCUAGUGGACCAUCAUCACACCCUCCUGCACAACAGUGAGAGUAAUUGGGGCCAGUGCUGUGGCAUAGGAGGUAAAACCGCCACCUGCAGAGCCGGCAUUCCAUAUGGACACCAGUUCAAGUCCUGGCUGCUCCACUUCUGAUCCACCUCUCAACUAUGGCCUGGGAAAGCAGUGAGAUGGCCCAAGUGCUUGGGCCCCUGUACCCACAU
rnacentral:lncRNA from 1 species